AUGUAGCUCAGUGGUAGAGCCCUUGCCUAGCAUGCAUGAGGCCCUAGGUUGAAUCCCUAGCAU
rnacentral:tRNA from 1 species